GUAGGGCGGGACACGUGGUAUCCUGUCUGAAUAUGGGGGGACCAUCCUCCAAGGCUAAAUACUCCUGACUGACCGAUAGUGAACCAGUACCGUGAGGGAAAGGCGAAAAGAACCCCGGCGAGGGGAGUGAAAAAGAACCUGAAACCGUGUACGUACAAGCAGUGGGAGCCUCUUUAUGGGGUGACUGCGUACCUUUUGUAUAAUGGGUCAGCGACUUAUAUUCUGUAGCAAGGUUAACCGAAUAGGGGAGCCGAAGGGAAACCGAGUCUUAACUGGGCGUUAAGUUGCAGGGUAUAGACCCGAAACCCGGUGAUCUAGCCAUGGGCAGGUUGAAGGUUGGGUAACACUAACUGGAGGACCGAACCGACUAAUGUUGAAAAAUUAGCGGAUGACUUGUGGCUGGGGGUGAAAGGCCAAUCAAACCGGGAGAUAGCUGGUUCUCCCCGAAAGCUAUUUAGGUAGCGCCUCGUGAAUUCAUCUCCGGGGGUAGAGCACUGUUUCGGCAAGGGGGUCAUCCCGACUUACCAACCCGAUGCAAACUGCGAAUACCGGAGAAUGUUAUCACGGGAGACACACGGCGGGUGCUAACGUCCGUCGUGAAGAGGGAAACAACCCAGACCGCCAGCUAAGGUCCCAAAGUCAUGGUUAAGUGGGAAACGAUGUGGGAAGGCCCAGACAGCCAGGAUGUUGGCUUAGAAGCAGCCAUCAUUUAAAGAAAGCGUAAUAGCUCACUGGUCGAGUCGGCCUGCGCGGAAGAUGUAACGGGGCUAAACCAUGCACCGAAGCUGCGGCAGCGACGCUGAUGCGUUGUUGGGUAGGGGAGCGUUCUGUAAGCCUGUGAAGGUGUACUGUGAGGUAUGCUGGAGGUAUCAGAAGUGCGAAUGCUGACAUAAGUAACGAUAAAGCGGGUGAAAAGCCCGCUCGCCGGAAGACCAAGGGUUCCUGUCCAACGUUAAUCGGGGCAGGGUGAGUCGACCCCUAAGGCGAGGCCGAAAGGCGUAGUCGAUGGGAAACAGGUUAAUAUUCCUGUACUUGGUGUUACUGCGAAGGGGGGACGGAGAAGGCUAUGUUGGCCGGGCGACGGUUGUCCCGGUUUAAGCGUGUAGGCUGGUUUUCCAGGCAAAUCCGGAAAAUCAAGGCUGAGGCGUGAUGACGAGGCACUACGGUGCUGAAGCAACAAAUGCCCUGCUUCCAGGAAAAGCCUCUAAGCAUCAGGUAACAUCAAAUCGUACCCCAAACCGACACAGGUGGUCAGGUAGAGAAUACCAAGGCGCUUGAGAGAACUCGGGUGAAGGAACUAGGCAAAAUGGUGCCGUAACUUCGGGAGAAGGCACGCUGAUAUGUAGGUGAAGCGACUUGCUCGUGGAGCUGAAAUCAGUCGAAGAUACCAGCUGGCUGCAACUGUUUAUUAAAAACACAGCACUGUGCAAACACGAAAGUGGACGUAUACGGUGUGACGCCUGCCCGGUGCCGGAAGGUUAAUUGAUGGGGUCAGCGCAAGCGAAGCUCUUGAUCGAAGCCCCGGUAAACGGCGGCCGUAACUAUAACGGUCCUAAGGUAGCGAAAUUCCUUGUCGGGUAAGUUCCGACCUGCACGAAUGGCGUAAUGAUGGCCAGGCUGUCUCCACCCGAGACUCAGUGAAAUUGAACUCGCUGUGAAGAUGCAGUGUACCCGCGGCAAGACGGAAAGACCCCGUGAACCUUUACUAUAGCUUGACACUGAACAUUGAGCCUUGAUGUGUAGGAUAGGUGGGAGGCUUUGAAGUGUGGACGCCAGUCUGCAUGGAGCCGACCUUGAAAUACCACCCUUUAAUGUUUGAUGUUCUAACGUGGACCCGUAAUCCGGGUUGCGGACAGUGUCUGGUGGGUAGUUUGACUGGGGCGGUCUCCUCCUAAAGAGUAACGGAGGAGCACGAAGGUUGGCUAAUCCUGGUCGGACAUCAGGAGGUUAGUGCAAUGGCAUAAGCCAGCUUGACUGCGAGCGUGACGGCGCGAGCAGGUGCGAAAGCAGGUCAUAGUGAUCCGGUGGUUCUGAAUGGAAGGGCCAUCGCUCAACGGAUAAAAGGUACUCCGGGGAUAACAGGCUGAUACCGCCCAAGAGUUCAUAUCGACGGCGGUGUUUGGCACCUCGAUGUCGGCUCAUCACAUCCUGGGGCUGAAGUAGGUCCCAAGGGUAUGGCUGUUCGCCAUUUAAAGUGGUACGCGAGCUGGGUUUAGAACGUCGUGAGACAGUUCGGUCCCUAUCUGCCGUGGGCGCUGGAGAACUGAGGGGGGCUGCUCCUAGUACGAGAGGACCGGAGUGGACGCAUCACUGGUGUUCGGGUUGUCAUGCCAAUGGCACUGCCCGGUAGCUAAAUGCGGAAGAGAUAAGUGCUGAAAGCAUCUAAGCACGAAACUUGCCCCGAGAUGAGUUCUCCCUGACUCCUUGAGAGUCCUGAAGGAACGUUGAAGACGACGACGUUGAUAGGCCGGGUGUGUAAGCGCAGCGAUGCGUUGAGCUAACCGGUACUAAUGAACCGUGAG
rnacentral:rRNA from 1 species